GGGGAUUUAGUUCAGCGGCAUAAGCACCUGCCUUGCAAGCAGGUGGUCGUGAGUUCAAUCCCCA
rfam:Cavia porcellus supercont2_283 genomic scaffold, whole genome shotgun sequence.